rnacentral:rRNA from 1 species
UACGAAGGGGGCUAGCGUUGUUCGGAAUUACUGGGCGUAAAGCGCACGUAGGCGGAUCGAUCAGUCAGGGGUGAAAUCCCAGAGCUCAACUCUGGAACUGCCUUUGAUACUGUCGAUCUGGAGUAUGGAAGAGGUGAGUGGAAUUCCGAGUGUAGAGGUGAAAUUCGUAGAUAUUCGGAGGAACACCAGUGGCGAAGGCGGCUCACUGGUCCAUUACUGACGCUGAGGUGCGAAGCGUGGGGAGCAAACAGG